rnacentral:rRNA from 1 species
UUAACCGCAGACGGCGUAAAGAGUGGCCCUAGACUAUCAUAACCAACUAAGACCUAACCAUCAACCCAAGCCGUCAUAAGCUAAAGGUACCCUGAAGCCCAACCUAUAAACGAUCUUAGCACUUAUCGACCUAUCCCACCCCACGAAAGCUAGGACACAAACUGGGAUUAGAUACCCCACUAUGCCUAGCCCUAAAUCUAGAUGUUUUACCCACACAAACACCCGCCCGAGAACUACGAGCACAAACGCUUAAAACUCUAAGGACUUGGCGGUGCCCUAAACCCACCUAGAGGAGCCUGUUCUAUAAUCGAUAAUCCACGAUACACCCGACCACUUCUUGCCAAUAACAGCCUACAUACCGCCGUCGCCAGCCCACCUCAAAUGAGAGCACAACAGUGAGCCCAAAAGCCUACCCCGCUAAUAAGACAGGUCAAGGUAUAGCCCAUGAAGUGGAAGAAAUGGGCUACAAUUUUCUAAAAUAGAACAUACCCCCAACGAAAAGAGGCCUGAAACCUGCCUCUAACAAGGCGGAUUUAGCAGUAAAGAGGAACAAUCAAGUCCUCCUUAAGCUGGUCCUAGGGCACGUACACACCGCCCGUCACCCUCCUCACAAGCCCCCAUAAUCAAACUUAAC